rnacentral:rRNA from 1 species
AGCGUAGACGGCAAGGCAAGUCUGAUGUGAAAACCCAGGGCUUAACCCUGGGACUGCAUUGGAAACUGUCUGGCUCGAGUGCCGGAGAGGUAAGCGGAAUUCCUAGUGUAGCGGUGAAAUGCGUAGAUAUUAGGAAGAACACCAGUGGCGAAGGCAGCUUACUGGACGGUAACUGACGUUGAGGCUCGAAAGCGUGGGGAGCAAACA